AGCAGCCGCGGUGAUUCCAGCUCCAAUAGCGUAUAUUAAAGUUGUUGCAGUUAAAAAGCUCGUAGUUGAAUUUCGGGAUCAGUAUGUUGGUCGUGCUUCGGUACGUACUGUCAUUACUGGUUUCUACCUUCUGAAGAACCAUGAUGUCAUUAAUUUGGUGUCGUGGGGAAUCAGGACUGUUACUUUGAAAAAUUAGAGUGUUUAAAGCAGGCUCGCGCUUGAAUACAUUAGCAUGGAAUAAUGAAAUAGGACGUUUGAUUCUAUUUUGUUGGUUUCUAGGAUCGACGUAAUGAUUAAUAGGGAUAGUUGGGGGCAUUAGUAUUCAAUUGUCAGAGGUGAAAUUCUUGGAUUUAUUGAAGACUAACUACUGCGAAAGCAUUUGCCAAGGUAUGUU
rnacentral:sRNA from 1 species